rnacentral:lncRNA from 10 species
CUGAGGAAAACCAGCUGAAGUAUUACAGAAAGAGGAAAUGCUGCAGAGACCCAGCCGGAAACAGUGCUGGCCAGCUCACGCCUGACCCACCCUUAUUCUAAGCAUAGGGUCUGCCUCUGAAGAGCUAAAGACUUCCUGAAAUUUAAAAAUUAGUGCUUUUAUUUGCUUGUCCUGCUAAGACCGUAGGCAAAGGCCAUCCUCCUCCCAUUGACAGUUUAGAGUGGGCAGAAACAACCACGGUUACCCUAGAAGUAAAUCCAGAGCUGCGGGACGCUGGAGGACAAAACCAACCUUCCAGGGAAGCCGAGGAGAAGUCAUGCCUUCAAAAGAUGAAGAAACUGACAUCUGGAGAAGUUGAAGUAAUUUGCACAAAGAUUCACUUGGCUAACGGAGUUUUGCUCUGUCACCCAGGCUGGAGUGCAAUGGCCCGAUCUCGCCUCACUGCAACCUCCACCUCCCGAGUUCAAGAGAUUCUCCUGCCUCAGCCUCCCAGGUAGCUGCUCCAGGCGCCCACCACCAUGCCUGGCUAACUUUUGUAUUUUUGUAGAGACGGGGUUUCUCCAUGUUGGCCGAGACGGUCUCGAACUCCUGACCUCAGGUGAUCCGCCUGCCUCAGCCUCCCAAAGUGCUGCGAUUACAGGCGUGAGCCACCGUGCCCAGUGAACAAUUUAUUUCCUAAUCAUCAUGAAGAGAAGAAAAAUAAUUAUUUAUUCUCUGUUCAUGCUGGCACUGUGCCUCACAUCUGCAAUCCCAGCAUUUUGGGAGGCCAAGGCGGGCAGAUCACUUGAGGUCAGGAGUUCGAGACCAGCCUGGGCAACAUGGUAAAACCCCAUCUCUACUAAAAACACAAAAAUUAGCCAGGUGUGAUGGAGUAUGCUUGUAGUCCCAGCUACUUGGGAGGCUGAGGCAGGAGAAUUGCUUGAACCUGGGAGGCAGAGGUUGCAGUGAGCCAAGAUGGUGCCACUGUACUCCAGCUUGGGUGACAGAACAAGACUCCAUCUCAAAAAAAAAAUUAUUUUCAUUUUUCCUAAG